GCUGGCGGCGUGCUUAACACAUGCAAGUCGAACGAGAAAGUUUCCUUCGGGAAACGAGUAGAGUGGCGCACGGGUGAGUAACGCGUAGGUAAUCUACCCUUAUGACCGGGAUAACAUUGGGAAACUGGUGCUAAUACCGGAUACCCUUCUUUGCUGCGGGGCAAAGUAGGAAAGGUGGCCUCUUCAUGAAAGCUACCGCAUAGGGAUGAGCCUGCGUACCAUUAGCUAGUAGGUGUGGGUAACGGCCCACCUAGGCUACGAUGGUUAGCGGGUCUGAGAGGAUGAUCCGCCACACUGGAACUGGAACACGGACCAGACUCCUACGGGAGGCAGCAGUGAGGAAUAUUGCGCAAUGGGGGAAACCCUGACGCAGCGACGCCGCGUGAGUGAGGAAGGCCUUCGGGUCGUAAAGCUCUGUCAGAAGGGAAGAAGUGUUACCUGGUUAAUACCCAUGUAAUUUGACGGUACCUUCAGAGGAAGCACCGGCUAACUCCGUGCCAGCAGCCGCGGUAAUACGGAGGGUGCAAGCGUUGUUCGGAAUUACUGGGCGUAAAGGGCGCGUA
rnacentral:rRNA from 1 species